AAAAAGAAGACAAAGAAGACGACAACAUUAACUCUCCUACUUUUAGCAACCUUAGUGGAAUGACAAGUGUGUUGUGAGAAAACUGUUCUGUGUCUGUAUUCUUUCUUUAUUCAGGACUCGGGAUUUAUGGAUUCUUUUGGAACCUUGUAGCUGCUAUUGUAUAACAUCAAUGUGAAUGCAAUUGCAGACUUUAUACUUGCCAGUUUGGGUUAUAGGGUUGAUUUGAAUUACGGGAAACCUGAUUACUGGCUGAACCCCAUUAAAGUUGCUGCUUUACAAUCAAAAGAGAGGAUAAGAAAGCUACAAGCUCAUUCCCGGCAGGAGCUGGCCAGUUCUACUGUUAGGUUUAUGGGGACAGCCUAAUCAGCCUUGACCUGGAAAGCUAUGCAGCUUAGUUUGCAUAUCAACGCCAAUGCCAGCUUUUGCUUAGCUCACGUAAUUGUCUUAUGUGCACUUAUUAUAUGGUGAUUAGCCACGUUCUCGUUUUUCUCUGUUUUCUUAGGAAGAUGAAGAUAUUGGGUUGGUUCAAGGCUGCCCAGCAGGGACCAUGAAGUGGACAGCAGGUUUGAAAGUGGUCCAUUUUUUUAGUAUUUUGUUUGAUUGAAGUGGCAAUCAGUGCACAAAGAAAGUAGCAGAAAGAUGGUUCAUAUAAUUGGGGUGUACAGGUUUCUUCUUAUGGCAGUUGGGGGCAUUAAAGAUUUGGUGGUUUUCCCUCUUGGCAGAUUUGAACAUUUGUUGCCUGUUGUAGAAAUUUUAGAUUUUCUUCAAGUUUAAGGUUUGCAGCUGGUGUUGAAUGGUUGUCUGUUGGACUCUGAUUUGGUGUGACUCUGUAGGCUUCAGACUUCGGAGUUGAGAUAUUUGCUGUAAUAAAUUAUGGUCUUAGAA